AUACAGAAGAGGCCACGUGCUGUUCCAAUGAGAACUCAGGACCCAGAGCCAUCACCAGGAGAAGCAGAAGCUAAAUGAGAUGUUUAGAAUUCCAGCCAGUCUCAGCUGUGGCAAGAGGGAGCACUUAUCUCUGUAUAUUUGGACAUCUGUGGGCGGUGUUUAUUUGCUGGGAAGUCUGGGUCUCUUCCCCUGGGGCUGCUGGAAGCCAUGGCAGCCGAAGGACACAAGCUGGAGGAGGGUCAGGAAUGGGCAGCCUGAAGCAGACACUGAGGUCAGGCAGGGCGUGGUGGGUGAGAACUAACUGCAGACUCAGUGGUGCCAGAGGUGGCCUGGCCAUAGGGAGGGCCCUGGGCAAAGCUUGGACAAGCAUCUCUGGGCUUUGAUUCUACAUUUCAGCUGUUAUGUGCAGGGUCACACAGACCCGGGUAUGAAUCUUGACUUUGCCACUUGCCAGCUCCAGUGUGGCUCAUGGCUGGAAGAUCCUGUGUUCUCAUCUUUGAAAAUGUCUCAUCUAUGACAAUGUUGGGACCAAGCUUAUGGGUUGUCCUGAGGCAUCAGUGAGGUGACGUUUGGAAGCUCUUAGCACAGGGCUAGGUGUGCCAGGAGCACUUGAAACCUAGGGGCUGCCACCGCCACAGCUGCUCUCUUUUAGACGACAGAUGUCCAGUUCUAACAAGACUGAAUAUGUCAAAUUUCUGUAUGAAAGGCACCAUAAACACAGUAAAAGACAAGAGACAAGGGAAUAAAAGAGUAACUUACAGUAGAGAAGUCCGGGCGCGGUGGCUCACGCCUGUAAUCUCAGCACUUUGAGAGGCUGAGGCAGGCAGAUCACUUGAGGUCAGGAGUUCAAGACCAGCCUGGCCAACAUGGUGAAACCAGGUCUCUACUAAAAAUACAAAAGUUAGCUGGGCAUGGUGGCGGGCGCUUGUAAUCCCAGCUACUUGGGAGGCUGAGGGAGGAGAAUCGCUUUAACCCAGGAGGUGGAGGUUGCAGUGAGCCAAGAUUGUGCCACUGCACUCCAGCCUGGGUGACAGAGCAAGACUCCCACUCGAAAAAAAAUAAAAAUACAGUGGAGAAGCCUGACAAAUACUAGCUCAGCCAGGUGACCAAGGCCGACACCAGCAACAUGAGGGUUACGAUGAAAGAGGCACUUUCCCUCUAUGAUCUUUUCACCUAAAACCCAUAAGCCUUCCCUAGUCAUGAGAAAGACAAAUGCCAAUUGAGGGACAUUCUGCAAAACAGAUGGCAGUCCUUCUCAAAACUGUCAAGGUCAUUUAAAAAACAAACAAGGAAACCUGUAAUCCCAGCUACUCAGGAGGCCAAGGUGGGAAGAUCACUUAAGCCUGGGAGUUUGAGACCAGCCUGGGCAACAUAGCAAAACCUCAUCUAUAAAAAAUAAGUAAAAUUUUAAAAUGGUUUUAGACUUGGCCCGGUGGCUCAUGCCUGUAAUCCCAGCACUUUGGGAGGCUGAGGUGGGCCGAUCACUUGAGGCCAAGAGCUCGAGGCCAGCCUGGCCAACAUGGUGAAACCCCGUUUCUACUAAAAAUACAGAAAUUAACCUGGCGUGGUGGUGGGCGCCUGUAAUCCGAGCUAUUCAGGAGGCUAAGGCAGGAGAAUUGAUGGAACCCAGGAGGCAGAAUUUGCAGUGAGCCGAGAUCACCCCACUACACUCCAGCCCGGGCAUCAGAGCAAGACUCCAUCUCAAAAAAAAAAACCCAAAGCUGGGUGUGGUUGCUCACGCCUGUAAUCCUAGCACUUUGGGAUGCCCAGGCAGGCAGAUCACCUGAGGUCAGGAGUUUGAGACCAGCCUGGCCAACAUGGUGAAACCCCGUUGCUACCAAAAAUACAAAAAUUAGCCAGACAUGGUGGUGCACACCUGUAAUCCCAGCUACUCGGGAGGCUGAGGCAGGAGAAUCGCUUGAACUCAGGAGGUGGAAGUUGCAGUGAGCUGAGACUGUGACACUACCCUCCAGCCUGGGCGACACAGUGAGAAUCCGUCUCAAAAACACAACAACAACAAAAAACAAAACCCAAAACAAAAAACAAAACCAAAAAAAGGUUUUAAAUGAGGAUAGACGAAAAACUGUCACAACCAAGAGGAGCUUAAGGAGACAUGAUGAGUAAAUGUAAUGUGGUGUCCUAGGGGGGACCCUGGGACAGAAGGAGGACAUGUGUGGUAGAUGCAUCUGACGCCAAUAAUGUAAGCAUACCCUGAGAAAGACGUAAGAAACACGCGUGACGGUCCUGAGCUAAGGAAUCUGAGAGUGGCCGCUCUAGAGAUUCACCCCUUAUCUAUGAAGAACCCUUGGCCCAUCCCUUGGAACUCAGGUCAUGUACAGGGUCAAGGCCCUUUUGCUUUGGGUUAGGUGGAGGUUGCUAAGUAAAAAUGCUAUAUAAACUGCAUGCCGUUUAUAAACAGUAGCAGUUCUCUUGUCCAGCCUGCUGCCACUGGACUGUCCUCAUAUGUAAGUCCCCCUCAAUCAGCCCUGUGUCUCAGCCAGGCGUGGUGGCUCGCACCUAUAAUCCCAGCACUUUGGGAGGCUGAGUGGGAGGAUUGCUUCAGCCUAGGAGUUCAAGACCAGCCCUGGAAAUUCAGUGAGACUCCAUCUCUACAAAAAAUUAAAAAACUUAGCUGGGUGUAGUGGCAUGCACAUGUAGUUCUAGCUACUCGGGAGGCUGAGGUGGGAGGAUCACUUGAGUCCGGGAGGAUCACUUGAGUCCAGCAGGAUGAGGCUGCCGUGAGCAGUGAUCAUGCCACUGCACUCCAGGUUGGGCAACAGAGCAAGACCUUGUCUCAAAAAAGUAAAAAUAAAUAAAUAAAUAAAUAAAUAAAUAAAUAAAUAAAUAAAUAAACCCUAUGUCUCGUUCCCUGCCUCCAGGUCUCUUCUUCAGCCUCUUGGACACAGUGCCAUCGCUAUUGGCAUCAAUAGGGGUCAGGCACGACAGGACAGUAG
rnacentral:lncRNA from 10 species